UUAGCUCUUAUUUGUAUGGAGUUGGGACGUUUGUCUACGUUUGCCGCUAGGGGCACUGUCCCAACUGCAUACAAAUGUGAGUUA
rfam:Bombyx mori DNA, contig: Bm_scaf102_contig36231, strain: p50T/Dazao, build 2, whole genome shotgun sequence.